rnacentral:rRNA from 1 species
AGGCCCUUCGGGGUACACGAGCGGCGAACGGGUGAGUAACACGUGAGCAACCUGCCCCUGACUCCGGGAUAAGCGGUGGAAACGCCGUCUAAUACCGGAUACGACCCUCCACCUCAUGGUGGUGGGUGGAAAGUUUUUCGGUCGGGGAUGGGCUCGCGGCCUAUCAGCUUGUUGGUGGGGUAACGGCCUACCAAGGCGAUUACGGGUAGCCGGCCUGAGAGGGCGACCGGCCACACUGGGACUGAGACACGGCCCAGACUCCUGCGGGAGGCAGCAGUGGGGAAUAUUGCGCAAUGGGCGAAAGCCUGACGCAGCGACGCCGCGUGGGGGAUGACGGCCUUCGGGUUGUAAACCUCUUUUACCACUCACGCAGGCUCCACGUUUUCGUGGGGUUGACGGUAGGUGGGGAAUAAGGACCGGCUAACUACGUGCCAGCAGCCGCGGUAAUACGUAGGGUCCGAGCGUUGUCCGGAAUUAUUGGGCGUAAAGAGCUCGUAGGCGGCGUGUCGCGUCUGCUGUGAAAGACCGGGGCUUAACCCCGGUUCUGCAGUGGAUACGGGCAUGCUAGAGGUAGGUAGGGGAGACUGGAAUUCCUGGUGUAGCGGUGAAAUGCGCAGAUAUCAGGAGGAACACCGGUGGCGAAGGCGGGUCUCUGGGCCUUACCUGACGCUGAGGAGCGAAAGCAUGGGGAGCGAACAGGAUUAGAUACCCUGGUAGUCCAUGCCGUAAACGUUGG